rnacentral:rRNA from 1 species
AUUGAACGCUGGCGGCAGGCCUAACACAUGCAAGUCGAACGGCAGCACAGAAGAGCUUGCUCUUUGGGAGGCGAGUGGCGGACGGGUGAGUAAUGUCUGGGAAACUGCCCGAUGGAGGGGGAUAACUACUGGAAACGGUAGCUAAUACCGCAUAACGUCGCGAGACCAAAGUGGGGGACCUUCGGGCCUCACACCAUCGGAUGUGCCCAGAUGGGAUUAGCUAGUAGGUGGGGAAAUGGCUCACCUAGGCGACGAUCCCUAGCUGGUCUGAGAGGAUGACCGGCCAAACUGGAACUGAGGCACGGUCCAGACUCCUACGGGAGGCAGCAGUGGGGAAUAUUGCACAAUGGGCGCAAGCCUGAUGCAGCCAUGCCGCGUGUAUGAAGAAGGCCUUCGGGUUGUAAAGUACUUUCAGCGGGGAGGAAGGCGGUGAGGUUAAUAACCUUGCCGAUUGACGUUACCCGCAGAAGAAGCACCGGCUAACUCCGUGCCAGCCGCCGCCGUAA